AGAGUUUGAUCUUGGCUCAGGAUGAACGCUGGCGGCGUGCCUAAUACAUGCAAGUCGAACGCGAGCACUUGUGCUCGAGUGGCGAACGGGUGAGUAAUACAUAAGUAACCUGCCCUAGACAGGGGGAUAACUAUUGGAAACGAUAGCUAAGACCGCAUAGGUACGGACACUGCAUGGUGACCGUAUUAAAAGUGCCUCAAAGCACUGGUAGAGGAUGGACUUAUGGCGCAUUAGCUGGUUGGCGGGGUAACGGCCCACCAAGGCGACGAUGCGUAGCCGACCUGAGAGGGUGACCGGCCACACUGGGACUGAGACACGGCCCAGACUCCUACGGGAGGCAGCAGUAGGGAAUCUUCGGCAAUGGGGGCAACCCUGACCGAGCAACGCCGCGUGAGUGAAGAAGGUUUUCGGAUCGUAAAGCUCUGUUGUAAGUCAAGAACGAGUGUGAGAGUGGAAAGUUCACACUGUGACGGUAGCUUACCAGAAAGGGACGGCUAACUACGUGCCAGCAGCCGCGGUAAUACGUAGGUCCCGAGCGUUGUCCGGAUUUAUUGGGCGUAAAGCGAGCGCAGGCGGUUUGAUAAGUCUGAAGUUAAAGGCUGUGGCUCAACCAUAGUUCGCUUUGGAAACUGUCAAACUUGAGUGCAGAAGGGGAGAGUGGAAUUCCAUGUGUAGCGGUGAAAUGCGUAGAUAUAUGGAGGAACACCGGUGGCGAAAGCGGCUCUCUGGUCUGUAACUGACGCUGAGGCUCGAAAGCGUGGGGAGCGAACAGGAUUAGAUACCCUGGUAGUCCACGCCGUAAACGAUGAGUGCUAGGUGUUGGAUCCUUUCCGGGAUUCAGUGCCGCAGCUAACGCAUUAAGCACUCCGCCUGGGGAGUACGACCGCAAGGUUGAAACUCAAAGGAAUUGACGGGGGCCCG
rnacentral:rRNA from 1 species